AACGGGUUCAACAGUCUGAAACCCUGGGCAGGACAAGACGAUCUGCUUCUGAGGACAAUCGCAGUUGUUAAUCACUUGCACGUUCCAUUCAGCUUCCAGCACCGAACCCUGCAACAAAAUCCACCAACUCAAACCCAGAAAGGGGAGAGAAAGAAAGCUCUAAAGGAAUAGGAUGAGGAUUGCUGCAAUCAUGGCGGAGAGGUUGAUCAUAGCGGAAGGGAGUGCUUUUGAGAAAGUUUGAGAAGUGGAAGGAGAAGUUCAAGAAGAGGCAAUUUGAGAGGUAAAAGGCUUGAAGGAAAGACAUUGGCUGACCAUUGAUGGAGGCAGCCAUUUCUUUUUCAAUUUGAGAGUGUUGUCAAGGAACGAAUUCAAGGAAAAGCUGCACACUUCGUAAUUAAGGAACGUCCAUUAAGUAGGGAUGUGUAGGGCGGCACAACCCUCAACCAAGGGAGUGAUCACGUUCAGUAUGUUCUCCCUUAUUUCCAACAUGCUAUGGUCAUUCGGGGCGAGGUCACUACUUGGCCCUAAGACGUUCGACGUUUUCCAUUUAAGGGAGAGGGAGUCUUGGAGCUAUGAGUUGAAUCCUUUCCUUUCUUUUUUCUUUUUUCUUUUUUACUAAACAAAGAUAUUUAGAUUUUCUAUUGAAAUUGUUAAAUGAAAUAUUACAAUAAGAUGUGUAUUGUAUUGUCAAUUUAAAAUAGUUCAACUAGUCUAUAUAUAGAUUUUGGAAUUUGUUGUA